UCAGGUUAUCCCCCCUUAACCACUGCUUCUCUCAAUGGAGUUUUUGGCAGGUACUAUGACAAAUGUGAACCUGAAAUAGGCAGUGCUCCAAAAUGGAUCCUGAGUGGCUAACUGGGCCUAAAUUUUAAAUAGAGCCAAGUGGCCAUCUGCCAACUAUAGGUCAGAGGUCUCAAGUUCCUCCAAAACCCACACCUCUGUUCAACUUUGGGACUUCCAGAGCUCACCUGAACCAACCAAUCUGAGAUCAUCUGCCUUGACCAAUCAUGGCUUAGCUGCCUCAACCAAUCAGGCUCAGUUGCCUUGACCAAUCAGGGCUCAGUUCUAUCAACCAGUCAGAACUAGAUAAGCCAGCUGCAGAAUAUAUCCUGAGGUACCUGCUUUAUGGAAUUAUUCACACUAUUCACCAACAGGAAGAAUAAAGUCAAUCAAUUCAAGGAGUCUCAGAACAGGAGCACAUAGACACCAAACUUUGUGGGACAACAAAUAUAAUGAAGAGUAUGUUUGCGUCUUUCAAACAAAGCCACGUGAAGUCAAGGCCCUUAACACCCACCCCUCCCACAUACUGAGGGGAGAAUUCAGAUGCCCACUGGAGUCAGCCGAUCAGACUGCCUUUUGCACACUCCUUGCCUCCACUCCAGUUUACCGUGGAAGACCUGUCUGCUAUGGCUGAAUCUGAGAGAGAUCCUUGAGUAACGAAUUAAGGAAUGAACAAAUGUUGCUCUGGACAAAGCUGCAGCUUCCACGUCCUGCAUAACUGCACUCAGUACUGACCCUGAAGAUAGGAAAAGCAAUACAACUGGUGCUAGAAAUGUUAUGAGAAUGACUUGGAUGAGCUGAAAAAUGAAUGAUCUCCUUGAACAAGGCUUGCCUGGAAUUUCGCUUUGCUGCAGAGACAUCUGGAAAUGUGGAUUGAGGGUGGAAAUAAAAUGAAGAUGUCCUGGAAACUUCCAACUGAUCCUUGGGUCUAAUUGGUGUGGGAUAUGCAGCACAAGCGUGAGAAGCCAUGAAGUGAGAGCCCCAACAGGGGCUCAGAGUCAAAAACCUAGAUAUUAGCUCCCAAAGUCCUUCCGAAUCUGCUCCAGCUCCCCACAUCACUCCUAGCUGCCCUUGGCCCUCUCCACCUUUCCCCUCCCGAUUCCUUGGAAAAUAAGCGUUCCUCCCCCACCCCCACCCCCAGCUCUACGAACACAAUAGAGAAGAAAAAAUUGUCUUUUAAGAUAAUUUCCUCCAAAUCCUUCUCAGUUUCAACUGCAUGAAGACAAAAUGCAGGCUGUCAAUUCGAUGAACAGAUUGUGAUUAGGCUGGGGGAGGCUAGAAUUGUAAUAAUUUUAUAGCUACAAUAAUAAAGACCCAGAAGUGGGCAAGACCUAUGCAAGUUCACAGACUAGGUUAAAGAAAAGGCCAGCGUUGAAGAUGUGGGUGAUUUCCAAGAAGGAUAAUCGACUUCGAGACAAGUCAAGAACACGAUCUGGGAAUCAGCUCCCUUGACCUAGAGGCCGGUGUCCUCCCAUGGAUGGCCUUUAAAACAACUGGCUGGCAUAUAAUAAGAGGGGCACCUGUUGGAAGACUCCGGAGAAGGAAGACGCAUCUGAAAUUUGGUGCCAUGACUCGAAUCGGGGGACCUCCCUUGGAAGAUCAAUCCCCUGUCCUCCUGC
rnacentral:lncRNA from 1 species